AGCGCCCUCAUUUAUUUAUAAAAGUGAGGUGUUUUUUUGCCGAGUUUGUCAUAACUUCCAUAAAAAAUUCCUCUGUUUUUGAUGUCUUGCAGCAAAAAUAUUCCCUUAUCCAACAGACAUGGACAGAAUUCGUCGAUAAAUAAAGGAGGUUGGUGAUCCAAAACUAUUGACAAGGUCUACGUCGACGGAAAAGCAAUAGUUCGGUCUUUCACUCGGGUGAUGAAAUAACCAGCCCAUACCAGCUUAUGGUGUCAAUUUGCUGAUACAGCGUUACCAUAGAAACCAUGGCCUAAUCCUCGGUGAUGAGAUGGGAUUGGGUAGAAAAAGGUCAGACUAUUGGCCUUUUGACGUACCUGUUUGGUUCAGGAGAAACUCGGGGUCGGUUCUUAGUCGUCAGCCCUCGGUCUGUGAUGGGAAACUGGAGAGAUGAGUUUAAAAGAUGGGACUUUAAGCUGUAGGUCCUGUGUGGAGGACGGGACAGGACGGGACUGCCAAGUUUCUUCCAAGGGGUGAUGGUGAGCUUCUGUGAUGUUGACGAUGGAGAAUAUUUAAAGAAACUCACACGUUACGC